ensembl:lncRNA EXOSC10-AS1 EXOSC10 antisense RNA 1
GGGGUCCGGGUCCUUCCUCCGCCCCAAGCAGCCGGGGCGGUGCACCACCGGCCCCCGCUUCCUUCUCGGGGUUGGGAGGCACCGAGGGCCUCGAGGGGCUGCGGGACUCGGGCUUGGUGUGGAGGGCAAGAGCGCUGCGACGUGCGGACUGGAGAGUCAGCCUUUGGGCUGGAGACACGGGAGCGGGUGGCUACAGUGGUUUACGUUGUUGCACGGGGCGAGUAGAACCAGUGUCCAGGAAGAGGCCCAGAACAUACAUAUUCAGCACCAGAAAAGACUGGCACGCAAUUUUUCUUGACAAACUGGGUCUUGCUCUUUGAAGGGUGGGUGGGAAUGUGCUGUUUUUAUGAGAAUGUCAAAGAACUUCUCAGAAUCACAUUAAGCAUGCUAAUUACCAAAUAUUAAAUGCUAAUUGUUCCACACGCA